CGCAUAUGUACGUGGGGGGUGGGAGUGAAGCCUGCAGGGUCUCCUGCUUUUCUGCGUCUUGUCCCUGUCCGCGCUAGCCCAGCUUGGGCCUGGCCACUAACACCUGGGGCCAUAGCAGAUGGCACAGGAGACCGGUUCCUGUGAGCCGUGGGGGCAGCAGACAGGAGAGGCCUGCGGGUUUGGGAGCAGAAGGGGCCCAGCGUGCGUUACCGCGCUGUCACUGACGCCAAGGGGCUGUGGAGGAAAACUGGAGGAGCGAGAUCCAUGGGUCUCCUGCUCUCCGAUGCCCUGACCACGCUCCACGACACGGAAGCUGUGACCAGAGGGCCAAAGGAUCAGUCAUCCUGCACUGUUCAGUGCCAGGGAGCUCACCGCUCACAGAAGCAGCCCGUUCUGGGUUUGGAAACCGGUGUCUCCUGGAAAGAACAGACAGGGUGACAAACUCCUAUUCAUCCCUCAAAGCCCAGCUCAGAUGCACCUUCACAGCUCUCUGCCUAGAGACCUGCCGUGGCACCGAGCCCACCAUCUGGUAACAUUGCUGUACCUUUGUGUCUUCUUUAUGAAACGUGCAGCCCCGUGAGGGUAGGGCAAAUAUCUGAUUUACCUCUGUGUCCCCAGUGUUCAGCAUGGAGUGACCCAGAGUGGGUUCUGAGUCACACAGAUCCUUGGGUCACUCACACUGGGCCUGAGGAGUGGGGUUGUGUGAGCAACAUGCUUCAAGCCCCGGGGUCCCUAGGACUCCAGGUCUUGGUUAGUCACUUGGUGAGCCCUGGGGACUGAGGACCCAUUCUAGGUACAGCUGGCCCCGGGACCCUGGGACGGACCCUGGGAUGGCGGUGCUGGGAACCCCAUUCUGAAGGGAGGGAUGGCCCUGACAGGAGACCCUGCCGUCUGAGAAGGACAAAAGUGGCCCGUAGGCAGAGUGUGUCCCUUCACCCUCCAAGCUGGCUUGUCACCACAAACCUGGAUGAUGUCUGUCUGUCUGUCCUUCUUUAAUUCAGUUCUAAAGUGAUUCCUGCACCCCCAAUCCUGUGUCUAACGAACCUGACAUUCAGAGGAAAUGUCUUCGGGAAAGGUCACCAGAGGGAGGUGGCGUUCUCGCUGACAGCACCUGUCCUUCCAGCACGGGCAGACUCUCCUUCAAGACAAGUGCCCGUGCUCCUGUCCCUCGGAGCUGCCCCUCCCCACCAGCUGCCUCUGCUCCUUCAACCCUUCAUCUGGAAAGACACGGCUCAGGACCCGCCUCAUUUGUCUGUUCAUGGUCCCUACUGGCCAUUGAGACACAGGGACGACUCCGGUCCCAGCCCUACCUGGCAGGGCACCCGGGAGGGCAGAUCCUGAGAUCACGGCUCAGGGGUGGAAAAGAGACGAGGUGGGCAAGGGAGGCAGAACCUCGUGGUGAGAUGUCACAUGCUCUGCGCUCAGAAGUUUGACCUUCGUCCUGAGGACAAUGCCUAUGUGAUUAUGUGAAUGGCGCCCGUGAGCCAGGAAGCACUACGAGGCAGGAACGGCGUCUGAUUUUCUCCCUAUUGUACUGCCAGCACCAGCACAGCUGGCCCAGAGAAGGUGAAUCAUUGCUUAAAAUGCAAACAUUCCCAAGUCCUGGCUCAGCUUCCCCUCUCCCCACCCGUGUGCCUGAGGAGCAGUAAUUGUGCGGGGAUGCAAAUGCUCAUUACAUGAACAGAGGGCAGUGUGGGACAUAAAUCUAGAAAAUUGAAAGAUUGGCCCCUUCCAGGAACGGGAACCAUGGUCACCAGCAACUCCUGCCUCACGUGUUCCCUGAUUCAUCGUCUUCCUUUGGUUCUGAUUGGCCAAACCUCAGGGGGUGACUUAUCCUCUGGAGUUGGGUUAUGCCCUGCCCAUGUGGCCAGGGGGCGGGAGCAUCCUCUGACUGACAGCCAGGGCUGCAUGCUGGCCUGGGGGAAGGAGGGUUCUCCAGAUGAAGGGCUUUCUCUUAGGGAGGAAUAGAUGGGCACUGAGCAGACACAACAAUAUGCAUCUGCCACGGCCACGGUUGUGUGCGACAGUGUCCCUUUGGUACAAAGGCACCCGCCAUUUCUCAGAUACACGAGCUGACCUUCAGGGCCCAGGUUAGCAACCUUCGUCCCCACCCCCCUUUCUGAAAUGAAGGGGUAGCAUCCCAGGAGGACGACAACCUGCCUCUCCACCUUAAGUCGCCCUCCCCUCUGAUCCCGUCAUGUGAUGAAGGGGUCACCACGAGCUACAGUCUUAGCUGGAGGGCAUGAGAGGAGAGGAGAGGCCUGACUACCUCACUGAGGUCUCAAUUAAGAUAAGGAAUCAUUACAAAUGCUCUGCUCAAGAUGCAUUGUAAAGAGUGAUUCACUCUGUGCCCAUUUCCUGCUAGCCCUGAAAGCUAAGCAGGGGCCGCCUGUGCCGCAAUAAAUGUCACUAUAUGAGCAUUA